rnacentral:rRNA from 1 species
AAAUGAAUUGACGGGGGCCCGCACAAGCAGCGGAGCGUGUGGUUUAAUUCGAUGCAACGCGAAGAACCUUACCUGGGUUUGACAUGGACCUGCAAGGCCGCGAGAGCGGUUCGCCUACGAGGGUGGUUCACAGGUGCUGCAUGGCUGUCGUCAGCUCGUGUCGUGAGAUGUUGGGUUAAGUCCCGCAACGAGCGCAACCCUUGGCGUCUGUUUCACGUGUCAGGCGCGACGGCCCACCACAAGUGGGAGGAAGGUGGGGAUGAUGUCAAGUCAGCAUGGCCUUUAUGUCCAGGGCGACACACACGCUACAAUGGCGCGUACAAUGGGAGGCGACCCUGCGAGGGGGAGCGGAUCCAGAAAGCGCGUCGUAGUUCGGAUUGGAGUCUGCAACUCGACUCCAUGAAGGCGGAGUUGCUAGUAACCGCGCGUCAGCCAUAGUGCGGUGAAUGCGUUCCCGGGCCUUGUACACACCGCCCGU